rnacentral:snRNA from 1 species
GGAUGUGAGGGCGAUCUGGCUGCGACAUAUCACCCCAUUGAUUGCCAGGGUUGAUUCGGCUGAUCUGGCUGGCUAGGCAGGUGUCCCCUGCCUCCCUCACCGCUCCAUGUGCUGCGCGCUCAGUUGAAGAGGACGACCACCCCCGAUAGAGGAGGACCGUUUCCUUGGUCAAGAGUAUACGAGUAGCUAGGCUCCUCUGCUAGAACCUCCAAACAAGCUCUCAAGGUCCAUAAUCAGAAGCCCUGACUAUAAUUUCUCAUCAUCCAACUCAUCCCACAACUCACCCAUCACUCUCAGUGGUGUAGACCACUGCGGCCUGGUUGGUGGGUU